rnacentral:lncRNA from 1 species
AGGUUUGCUUAACAUGACAAUCAACCUUAUAAUCAUUUACAAGAGAUCCUCAAGAGGUUCAAAAUUUUUUCAUCCCUUUGGUGAACAAAGUAGGUAUUGAAAUUAGCAUCCCUUAAGACUCCAACUUUGGCCAAACCUGAAGAAUGUCAUAAAGAAAAUUAGUCACAGAGCAGACAUAAAAAUAGAGUAAAAAUAUCAAAUACUGAAUAAAGAAGACAGUAGCUGGAAUAUCUUCAUUUGGUGAAAAUGGUGCAAUAUAUAACCAUGCUUUGGAAGAAAUAAAGACAAAUAGGACAGGGCAACUGCAUAGCAGUACCAUAUUGCACUUUGUCGGCUAGGUGAACAGUGGCUUCCAAUUAAGAAAUGCCACAUGCCCUCUACAACUAAUUCCUGAUAGCUCACAGGCUAUUCUAAUAGAAAAAAAAAAUAUAAAAUACUAUAAAGAUAAAAGUUAAAGACAGAUAAAAUCAUGUGUUCUUUUUCUCCAAUAGCUUCAAACAUUUUAGCACCAAGAAUUUCCUCAUGCAGUUCCCAUAUUCAACACAUCUCCAUGGGAUUUACCAUGAGCACUCUCAACUUGGUGCGUAAAGUGAUGAACUUCUCCUUGCUGAGAGUCUUAGUGAGUAUAUCAGCAACUUGUUCAUCCGUUUAGUAGUAUUCCAACUCAAUCUCAUCAUUUGUUACUGCAUCACGAAUAGCAUGAAACUUUGCUCUAAUAUGUUUUGUCCUUCCCUGUUGAAUUGGGUUUUUUGCAAUCGCAAUUGCUGACUGAUUGUCUACUCUGAGCACUAUUCCUUCUGUUUGAAUAAAACCCAAAUCAUUUUGCAUCUUUCUCAACCAUAAAGCAUUGUUUAUUGCUGAAGUAGUAGCUAUAUAUUCAGCCUCCGUAGACGAUAGUGCGACAACUUCUUGCUUUUUGGAAUUCCAAGAGAACAUACCACUACCAAAGGAGAAGCAAUAACUAGUUGUACUUUAAGAAUCAUCUAAACAGCCUGCCUAGUCGUUAUCACUAAACCUUUGCAAGUUUAAGCUAUCUUUCUUACAGUAGACUAGUCCAAAACUCAAGGUUCCUUUUAAGUACCUUAGCACUCUCUUUGUAGCAGAAUAAUGAAUUUUUGAGGGAAAGUUCAUGUACUUGGAAAGCACACUUACAGUUUGCAUAAUAUCAGGUCUCAUUGCUAUUAGAUAUAACAAACAACCUGUCAUACUUUUGAAACGGUACUCAUUAGCUUUAAGACUUCCAUCUUCCUUACAUAAUUUGUUUCCAAACACAGCUGGUGUGCUAACCUUUACAAGCAUCCAUCUUGAAUCUCUUCAACAGAUCUUUUGCAUACUUAUGUUGAUGAAUUUUCAUUCCAUUUACUCCUUAAAUCACCUCUAUUCCCAAGAAAUAAGACAUUUCACCAAGAUCAAUCAUGUCAAAUUAUUAAGUCAUUUGAGUUUUAACUUUGUUAUUCAUCACCAUUUAGACCUGUAAUAAGCAGAUCAUCCACAUAUAUAGCAACAAUCAGUUGAGAUUUUUCAUCUAUUUUCUUAACAUAAAGAAUAUGCUCUGUGUCACUUCUUUUGAAACCUUUGCUACAAAGGUAGGAGUUGAUUCUUUCAUACCAACUUCUUGGUGCUUGCUUAAGCCCAUAUAAAGCUUUGUUCAACUUAUAGACUUUGGUUUCAUCUCCUUGCUUGAUGAACCCUUUAGGUUGUUCAGUAAAUAUAUCAUCUGUAAGAAAGCCAUUCAAGAACGUACACUUUACAUCCAUAUGCCAAAUUCUCCAACCUUCUCGAGCUGCCAAAGCCAUAAGUAAUUGGAUUGUGUCAUGUCUUGUAACUAGAGCGAAAGUUUCCAAGUAAUCGAACCCAUACACUUGUGAGUACCCUUUUACUACCAGUAGAGCCUUGCAUUUAUUUAUCGAUCCAUCUGCAUUAUACUUAGCUCUAAAGAUCUAUUUCACACCUAUUACCUUUUGGUUCUUUGGUUUUUCUACUAGAGUCCACGUGUUGUUCCUGUAAAUCAUAUUAAUCUCGACCUUCAUUGCUUGUUUCCAUUCCUCAUUUUCUUGAGCUUCAUUGAAAUUUACUGGUUCAAGUAAUGCCACGUUACAUCUUUCAUAAACAUCUUGUAGAGUUCUAGUACUUUUCACAAGUAAUUCAUCAAUGUUAUCAUCAUCCAGCACAUACCUUCCAGUAUUUGAAUCAGCAACGACAUCAAUGUUAACUGAUUUUUCUAUUUCUUGUUUCUCCCAAUUCCACCUUAAAUUUUCUUCAAACUUUACAUCCCUAGACAUAAAAACUUUCAUUGUUUCCAAGUUGUAGAGUCUGUAUACUUUUGUAGUUUCACCAAAACCAAUAUGAAUAGCCAACUGUGACUUUGCAUCAAGCUUUGUUCUUUCAGCUUGAGGUAUAUUAGCAUAGCAAAUGCAACCAAACACCCUUAAGUGAGUAACACUUGGUUUUGUCUUGUACCAGACCUCAAAAGGAGUUGUAUUGUUAAGUGCCCUGGUAAGAAACAUAUUCAAUAGAGUAGUAGCAACAUGAACAGUUUUUACCAGAAACUUUUGGGCAUUUUUUUUCAAAUAAAAGGCAUCGAACCAUCUCCAUAAGUGUUCUAUUCCUUUUCUCACAAACCCCAUUCUGUUUGGGGCUAUAUGUGAUGGUAUACUGAUGCUUUAUUCCCUUGUAACUUAGAUAAUCUAUAAACUUUCCUAAAGUAUACUCUUUACCAUUGUCUGUUCUCAAAACUUUAAUAGCAUGGCUUGACUCCUUUUCAACCAUAGCAAUAAACUUAACAAAGUAGCUUAAAAUCUUAGAUUUAGCUUUAAUAAAACAAAUCCAACCAAAUUUGCUAAAAUCAUCUAUGAUAGCAAAUAAUACCUGCUGCCACUUAGUGAUGCUGCUUUAACUAGUCCUCUAACAUUUGAGUGCACCACCUGAAGGACAUAUGUGGUUCUUGACUUGCUAUGUUUUGGAAAUGGUUUUUUGGCAUGCUUUCUAUGCAUACAUGUAUCACAUAAAUGAUAACCAUAUGUAAUUUUAGGCAGACCAUCAACUAAAUUUGUAAUAGACAUCAUUUUUAGAGACUUAUAAUUUAUAUGCCCAAGCCUCCUGUGCCAUUUCUUGUUAUCAUCAUUAGUUGACAUAUAGUUAUAUUGCUUAACUUCCAUCCAAUUGACAGGAAAACAUUUACCUUUCAUGGGUAUAGUAAAAAGUUCCUUACCAUAGGAAUCAAACACAGAACAGUUGAGGUUUUUAAAAACUAGUUCAUAAUUACUUUUGAGUAACUGACCAAUGCUUAAAAGAUUUUGACUAGCUUUAAGGACAUAUAAAACUUGAGAAUUGUACCUGAUUCCUUAUGAAGUUUGAACUCCAACCAUGCUACUACCCAUAACUUGAAAAUGAUCACCAUUACUGAUUCUAACUCUUGACUUGUAGUUUCUAUCCAGAGUAGUGAAUAAGGCUUCAUUCCCAGUCAGAUGGCUUGAAUAGGCGUUGUCUAUUAGCCAACUAUCUUUCUUUCCAACCUUAAAAACUUUUUAUGUAACAAAGAAAACUUCUUCUUCUUUUUCUUCUAUUUCUUCCAUAAUAACAGCC